UACGUAGGGUGCGAGCGUUGUCCGGAAUUAUUGGGCGUAAAGGGCUCGUAGGCGGUUUGUCGCGUCGGGAGUGAAAACCAUGGGCUUAACUCAUGGCUUGCUUCCGAUACGGGCAGACUAGAGGCAUGCAGGGGAGGACGGAAUUCCUGGUGUAGCGGUGAAAUGCGCAGAUAUCAGGAGGAACACCGGUGGCGAAGGCGGUUCUCUGGGCAUGUCCUGACGCUGAGGAGCGAAAGUGUGGGGAGCGAACAGG
rnacentral:rRNA from 1 species